ensembl:snRNA U2 U2 spliceosomal RNA
AUCGCUUCUCGGCCUUUUGGCUAAGAUCAAGUGUAGUAUCUGUUCUUAUCAGUUUAAUAUCUGAUAUGUCCUCUAUAUGGGGACAACAUAUUAAACGGAUUUUUAGCACCGGGGAGCUGAAAAAGGGGCUUGCUCCGUUCACUCCACGCAUCGACCCGGUACUGCAGUGCCGCCGGGAACGGUGCACCCUCC